rnacentral:rRNA from 1 species
UUACCCACCUUUGACAUGUACGGAAGUCGCCAGAGAUGGCUUCGUGCUCGAAAGAGAGCCGUAACACAGGUGCUGCAUGGCUGUCGUCAGCUCGUGUCGUGAGAUGUUGGGUUAAGUCCCGCAACGAGCGCAACCCUUGUCAUUAGUUGCUACGAAAGGGCACUCUAAUGAGACUGCCGGUGACAAACCGGAGGAAGGUGGGGAUGACGUCAAGUCCUCAUGGCCCUUAUAGGUGGGGCUACACACGUCAUACAAUGGCCGGUACAAAGGGUCGCAAACCCGCGAGGGGGAGCCAAUCCAUCAAAGCCGGUCGUAGUCCGGAUCGCAGUCUGCAACUCGACUGCGUGAAGUCGGAAUCGCUAGUAAUCGG